UACGGAGGGUGCAAACGUUGCUCGGAAUCAUUGGGCGUAAAGCGCACGUAGGCGGUUCGUUAAGUCGGAUGUGAAAGCCCUCGGCUCAACUGAGGAAGUGCACCCGAAACUGGCGAGCUUGAGUACGAAAGAGGAUCGCGGAAUUCCCGGUGUAGAGGUGAAAUUCGUAGAUAUCGGGAGGAACACCGGUGGCGAAGGCGGCGAUCUGGGUCGAUACUGACGCUGAGGUGCGAAAGCGUGGGGAGCAAACAGG
rnacentral:rRNA from 1 species